GUGCCGCUCGGCGUGUGUGUCGUCGCCGUCUCGCCGUCUCUCCGUCUCUCGCGAGCGCGCCAAGAGUGAGGUGUUGCGUAUACAAGUCGCACGCGACGCACCCGCAAUUAAGUUAAUCCGCGAUUGAUCAAUGUGAACGCGACGUAUCGAACCGACCGUUAUACAUUACGGGCAAGUAUUUCCCUCGUUUCGAAUGGAAGUGAGAACAAUUCGCAGAUCUUCGCCAAGGGUCCUCGUCGUUGCCGCACGCCGGCCGCGUAGUUUCUCGAAUGGGGGGCGUGGCGUCUGGGUUCGAGUGUGCCACAGGGACUCGAAAGUGAGCCCCUCGCGCGGAAAAGACGCGACUCGCCCGCCCUCACUCCUCACCUGCUCCCGUAAUUAGUGCGAUACAAAACAGUGCGAUACGCAUCGAUCGUUAUUCAUUGUCAAUAAUGUGUACGUUUUGCGUUUAACUUGUGUCGCGGUUAAAACAUCACGCUUCGAUCGCGUAUUUCUGAAUCGAUCGUUGCGUCUUAAUCAGCGUCGGCGUUGAUUCGCGUAACGUCGCGCGAUUUUGGAGUGAAUUUGCCGCUCUCCGGCGAGGCACUCGACCACCACUCUAGACUUUACGAGAUUACGAAUGCCAAAAAAGUUAUAGCUACGCACAAUCCACACAUUCCGCGUUAUUGUUCCGUCGCGUCGAGUGCUAGUAAUAUCGGUGUCGUGUGAAAUGCCGGAUUAUCGUCGCGUUCCGGUAAGUAGUGUGCACGCGCUGGCAGUCGGCCAGGUUAUGGCGAACUUCAGAAGAACGUCGCGUCCGGCGGAGGGACGCCUCUCGUCUUAGCUCGUAAGGGUCGUUGCGAUAGCUGGAGUGUGAAUACAUUGCGUGACCUUCGAAAAGUUUCCGUCGCUCUGAAGCUUUCGUCGAUCGUCGCAUCGUUCAGACCAAUUUCGCAGCUGCCGAAAGAGUCGUGGCUACGCACAAUCCGCACAUUCCGCACUGUUGUUUCGUCGCGUCGCGUACCAGUGAUAUCGGAGUCGUGCGGAAUGCCCGAUAAUCGUCGCGUAGCGGUAAUAGCGCUAGUGCUAAUCUUAAACUUUAUUCUCGCGAGUGAUCAGUGUUUUGGUGAUUGCCAUGGAUGUGCAACGGUGCGGCGGAGGGACGAGAGGAGAGGAGAGAAGGAAGCGGUCAGGAUGGCAUCAGGCAACAGCGGAGCAACCCUUGGAUUGAUGUAGCUGUGUUACAAUUCCGCUGCUGCGCAUCGGUCUGAGUUGGGCGUCUCGGGGAGCGAGGAUGAAAAAGGCACUUCCAAGGAACUCGACAAAGAACGCCUUUAAAUUCACAGUCCUGAGACCAAAUGGAGUCGAAGGGAAGUGCAGCCGGCCGAAUUAACAGCGCCGCGUUUUUCUCCUCGUAUUCUCAAGGUAAGAUCUAUUCCACUUAUACAAUUAUCUCCUUAAUUGCACUGCUCUUUGCUUCACCGCCGCAUAAGAACUUAUCUACACGAUAUACCGACGAGAUGGGAUAAUUACAAAUUAACCCAGUUGAGGUGUCGUCCUCGAAUAAUGUUUUGCCACGACGUCCUCGUCCUGACUACGCCAUUUGUCUUUAUUUACGACGAUGGAAUCAACGCGAGUCUAUUGAAGAACGAGAGAUAAUGCAUUUCCAACAGCUUUAUAUAGAUAUACGAAUCUGAUUAAUGGCGAAAAUUAAUGGCGGCCAUUAAAACGUUUUCCUCUUACUACCAAUCGAAAUUUCUCGAUCGAGAGAAAUCCAAGAUUAAUUAAUAUGAAUUAAAAUGAAUCUCAAGUAUCGCAAAUGUUAGAUAUGAAUAAUCCUUUUCUAUUUCAUAUUUAAAGGUACGUUGAAUAAAAGCUAGAGAUUUCACUUUUUUAGCUGUUGAUUCAAGCAAAAAAUUUAUAGCAAAAAUAUUUCUCAGAUUAUUUAGACAAAUAAUUAUUUGUGCUAUUAAUAGAAAAAAUGUUUAUAUUUUGUGAAUUUAAGUAUCAACCCAGACGCAGUUACGGCUAUCGAGGCUUUAAAGUCUGAUAUUCACUGGAGCGAAUGAGCCACGUAGCUGUCGUAAAAAAGAGCGGCAUGUAUCGUAAACCAAAUCACAAUUUGCCCAAAGUAAUCCUAUUCGUCUGAAAGUCGAUAAAAACGUCGAGUAUCAAACCAGCAUGAAUUCUUCUGCUUCUUUCAAACAUGUAGCAUAUAUUUCGCAUGCAUUAAUUUCAACGAGUCAUAAUUCUGAUAAUAUAUGCUAAACAUUUUAAUAAAAAACCAUAUAUUUCACAAUCAAACUGUAAUAUUAUUCCUGAGAGAUUGGUAAGAAUUUUAAAGCACUCAAUACGUUUGCAAUCUCCACUAUUCUAUUUCGUAUUCAUGAAAAAAGGCAAUUCACUUAAUGUAACCAAUCGUUUUAUCACAUAAUUUUACAUUUAUAAAGUUUUUUUUUCAAAAUAAAGCUGCAUGGAGUAAUUAAUAUAAUUCAAUUCCUUAGACUCAAAAUUAAUCUAAAUUUUAUGUUUUUUAAUCCAUUAUAAAAAAUUAAUGUAGUUAAACGUUUUUAAGAAUUUGUCAUCGUUAAAAAAUUCUUAGUAGAAGAAAAUAUUAAAAAUAUACGAUGCAAAAACUCGCUCUCCUUCGUCUCCUCCGUCUUCGUAGAAAAAUCCCGUAAAAUAUAACACAAAUUACAAUUAAUGCGAUAGCGUGGAAUACCUUUUUUGCGUGUUAUACGGAAGCUAUGCGGUCUACUAAAGCGCGCACCUAAAAAAAUCACACGACUAUUCGAUCGUUAGUAACACCGGUGCCGGAACGAUAAAUAUCGAUAAAGAAGGUCGAUUGCUAUAUAUAAAUGCAGCGCCUUCCGUUAUUGCGGAUUCUUGUUAGCUCGAGUCAGGAUUACGAAAGGAAAAACGAGGAAACUUCUUUGUCGCCAAGAAAACGGCUCCGUUCGAGAGCUAUUAAUCGAUCCGAACGGUCUUCGAAGCGCUUUAAAGUCAUCAAAACUUCUUCGCAAUCCUAGCGUCGAGUAUCGUCGGACGGACUUCCGUUAAUCGUUCUUAAUUACUUCGAAAGAAAAACGUACUCGGGCGUCGUUAGGCGUAUUCCAUUGAACCCUGGUAGAUUCCCAUUGGAUGAAAACCAUCCGAAAAUACACCGCGAUAGAAAAAGUAGAAAGUAGAUAACGAAAACAAAAAGAAGCAAAGAGAAAGAAUUGAUACCAGAACUGCAGGUAACUAUAAUAGGAGAAAAAAAAUUAAAACUUUGUAAUCUA